GAGGCUGCGCGUCCCGCCGGGCUCCGCUGUAAGCCGGGCGAAAAGAGCAGCCUGGGCGCGCAAGGCAAGCCGCCCCGGAGCCGGUGUCGUUUGAUUUGCCGACGAGAUUGCAGCCUGGGGUUGCUUUUUUGAGUGACCAAGAUCCAAUAGCCAAAAUGUCGGCAACACUAGACUUGGAAAAAGGAUGCACGGUGGAUGAACUGCUCCAUGGAUGCAUUGAAGCCUUUGACAAUGAGGGCAAGGUCCGAGACCCCCAGCUGGUCCGCAUGUUUCUCAUGAUGCAUCCGUGGUACAUCCCAUCUUCUGAGCUGGCUGCGAAACUGCGUCAAAUAUAUCCUUCCGGUUUCCACUGUGACAGGGCCUGUUUCUUAAGUGAACUUAGCUUAGUUUCACCAACUGGGGGUCCGUGAGAAAGUUUUGGUGGUGCGCAGAAAAACGAUUUGCAUUUUUUAUAUUGCACUCAAUCAGGGGUCCUCGAACUACGACCCCUGGGACAGAUACGUGCAAUGAACGCUUGUGUUGCUUCAGAGAGUCUCCCUCUUCGGGGUCUUUUUGGGUGGGUCGAAGGGGGGAAGAAAUCCCAACCUGGGGUCUGCUUCAGCCUCCUGGUGGGGGGCUUUGGAGGAAGGCUGGAGGGAAGCG